rnacentral:lncRNA from 1 species
GCCCACUUCCCACUGUAACAGCUGAAAUGCUGGAUAAUACUUUUGCAGGCAUCCCUGCAGGUAGGGAUGAGCACAGGAUCCAGGAUCCACCAAUCAGAAGCACCCAUUCUGGACUGUGAAUCAGGUGCUAUUGACACUGAGACCCUCUCUGGAGGUGGCAGCAGUUGCAGCAAGACUGUGUUUCCAUGGCAACAGUGGCUGAUGCUGUCCCCAUCUUGCGCCUGGAGCAGAAGUGCCCUGUCUCAGCAACCGGCAAGGGAGGUGACAAUGGCUUCAGCACGUGAUCACAGACCCCCCACCAGAGAGCUGACCACCUAGGGGUGCCUUUUAACAUCUCAGCCCACACAGCUACAUGGUCAGUGAAGCAUAAAAGAAAACAGGUCAAAGCAAUGAACUGCGCUGGACCGGAUGUGGAAGUGUCGAGAGAGCAAGUACUAGGUGCCCAGGAACCGUGACUAUCUGAAACCAUGAACCGAAAAUCUGUGCUCCCUUGGGUCCUUUCUCCGCCUGUUUUGACUAAGUCUUCCAUUUGUUAAGAGAGAACCCCAUCCAGCUCACUCCAGCACAUACCACGUAGGACUCGG